GUGAAUCAUCAAAUCUUUGAACGCACAUUGCACUCACUGGUAUUCCGGAGAGUAUGCCUAUUUGAGGGUCAUUUUAAAUAUUAUAAUUUCCAAGAUUUCUCGGAAUUUAAAAUGGGUUGUCCAUUUUUUUUGUUCGCCUAAAAUCCAUGACAAGCUCAUUUUCUUAGUUUGCGUGAUACUUUCAAUUACGUCGUGCCUUAACUAGCAAUCAUCGGUUGGGU
rnacentral:misc_RNA from 1 species